AUUGAACGCUGGCGGCAGGCUUAACACAUGCAAGUCGAGCGAGCGGCGGACGGGUGAGUAAUGUCUGGGAAACUGCCUGAUGGAGGGGGAUAACUACGGGAAACGGUCGCUAAUACCGCGUACCAUCGGAUGUGCCCAGGUGGGAUUAGCUAGUGGGUGGGGUAAUGGCCUACCAAGCCGACGAUCCCUAGCUGGUCUGAGAGGAUGACCAGCCACACCGGGACUGAGACACGGCCCGGACUCCUACGGGAGGCAGCAGUGGGGAAUAUUGCACAAUGGGGUCAACCCUGACGCAGCCAUGCCGCGUGAGUGAAGAAGGCCUUCGGGUUGUAAAGUUCUUUCGGUGACGAGGCGUUAAUCACAGAAGAAGCACCGGCUAACUCCGUGCCAGCAGCCGCGGUAAUUC
rnacentral:rRNA from 1 species